rnacentral:rRNA from 1 species
GGAUCGUCAGGUAUUUUGUAUGGCCCGUGAGAGGUGAAUUCUUGGAGCGGAGCUUCACGGAAACGAAAGUCUUCCGGGGAAGGGAGAGUAUGGUUGCAAAGAUGAAACUUAAAAGAAUUGAAAGGAAACGCCCGUCGCUGCCCGGGACUGAGCCAUUUCUAGAAAUUUGGGGACCGUUGAUUUAAUUUUUCUAAAUUACUUUGAUGGAAACCAAUUUAAUCGCAGUGGCUUGAACCGGGGGAAGUAUGGUUGCAAAGCUGAAACUUAAAGGAAUUGACGGAAGGGCACCACCAGGAGUGGAGCCUGCGGCUUAAUUUGACUCAACACGGGGAAACUCACCCGGCCCGGACACUGUGAGGAUUGACAGAUUGAUAGCUUUUUCAUGAUUCAGUGGAUGGUGGUGCAUGGCCGUUCUUAGUUCGUGGAGUGAUUUGUCUGGUUUAUUCCGAUAACGAGCGAGACUCUAACCUACUAAAUAGUUGGUACAUACUCUUAGUGUAUACAGCUUCUUAGAGGGAUUUGCGGCGUUCAGCCGAAAGAUAUUGAGCAAUAACAGGUCUGUGAUGCCCUUAGAUGUCCGGGGCUGCACGCGCGCUACACUGGCAAAAUCAACGUGCUUGUCCUACCCUGAAAGGGGCGGGUAAACCAUUGAAAAUUUGCCGUGAUUGGGAUCGGAAAUUGCAAUUAUUUUCCGUGAACGAGGAAUUCCAAGUAAGUGCGAGUCAUCAGCUCGCGUUGAUUACGUCCCUGCCCUUUGUACACACCGCCCGUCGCUGCCCGGGACUGACCAUUUCGAGAAAUUUGGGGACCGUUGAUUUAAUUGUUUCCUAAAUUACUUUUGAUGGAAACAAUUUAAUCGCAGUGGGCUUGACACCA